rnacentral:rRNA from 1 species
UACGAAGGGGGCUAGCGUUGCUCGGAAUCACUGGGCGUAAAGCGCACGUAGGCGGCUUUUUAAGUCAGGGGUGAAAUCCUGGAGCUCAACUCCAGAACUGCCUUUGAUACUGAGAGCUUGAGUCCGGGAGAGGUGAGUGGAACUGCGAGUGUAGAGGUGAAAUUCGUAGAUAUUCGCAAGAACACCAGUGGCGAAGGCGGCUCACUGGCCCGGUACUGACGCUGAGGUGCGAAAGCGUGGGGAGCGAACAGG